rnacentral:rRNA from 1 species
GCUGGCGGCAGGCCUAACACAUGCAAGUCGAGCGGAUGAGUGGAGCUUGCUCCAUGAUUCAGCGGCGGACGGGUGAGUAAUGCCUAGGAAUCUGCCUGGUAGUGGGGGACAACGUUUCGAAAGGAACGCUAAUACCGCAUACGUCCUACGGGAGAAAGUGGGGGAUCUUCGGACCUCACGCUAUCAGAUGAGCCUAGGUCGGAUUAGCUAGUUGGUGAGGUAAAGGCUCACCAAGGCGACGAUCCGUAACUGGUCUGAGAGGAUGAUCAGUCACACUGGAACUGAGACACGGUCCAGACUCCUACGGGAGGCAGCAGUGGGGAAUAUUGGACAAUGGGCGAAAGCCUGAUCCAGCCAUGCCGCGUGUGUGAAGAAGGUCUUCGGAUUGUAAAGCACUUUAAGUUGGGAGGAAGGGCAGUAAGUUAAUACCUUGCUGUUUUGACGUUACCAACAGAAUAAGCACCGGCUAACUUCGUGCCAGCAGCCGCGGUAAUACGAAGGGUGCAAG